rnacentral:rRNA from 1 species
UACGAAGGGUGCUAGCGUUGUUCGGAAUUACUGGGCGUAAAGGGUGCGUAGGCGGCCAUAUAAGUGAGAUGUGAAAUACCUGGGCUCAACCUGGGAACUGCAUUUUAUACUGUAUGGCUAGAGUGAGCGAGAGGAAGAUGGAAUUGUGCGUGUAGAGGUGAAAUUCGUAGAUAUGCGCAAGAACACCAGUGGCGAAGGCGAUCUUCUGGUACUUAACUGACGCUAAUGCACGAAAGCGUGGGGAGCAAACAGG